GAGGUCCGGCAGCCGCUGCCAAAGCAGCCGCCAAAGCAGCCAAGUACGGUAAGCUGGGAUCUCUCUGGGGUUAUCCCACAUGUCCUGUCUCCUGCUCAUCCCCACCCCAGGCUGCUCCCCUGUCGGGGAUGAGGCCCAGCAGUGCCUGGGGUCCCUGGGGGUCAGGGUGAGGGACAAGCUCCCUGAAGGGCUGAAUGUGGGAUGAGGUUCUGGCUGUGUCAGGGCUGCUCUCCAGUGAGCUGAGCCCUGUGGAGCAUCUGAGUUCACCAUCCUCUCAUCCUUCGGUCCAUCCAUACCCCAUUCUGUCCACCUAGCCACAAGACCACUACCUCAGUAUCCAUCUGUCCCCUUCUCUGUCCAUCCAUCUGUACUUCUUCCACUCAUCUAUUCAGUCACUCUACAUGCAUCCACAUAUCCAUCCAUCUAUCCAUACAUCCAUCUCACCACCCCUCCAUCCAUCUGUCCAUCUGGCCAUCCCACUAUCCAUGUGUCCAUCUUAGCAUCCAUUCAUUCAUCCAUCUCACCAUCCAUCCAACCAUCCAUCCAUCCUACCAUCAUUUCAACCAGUCCUCAUCCAGCCACAUACCCAUCUCAUAAUCCAUCCACCCACUCACUCCGCCCAGCCUGCCAUACUUUCUCAUCCAACUCCUUCUUCCACAUUUCUUCCUGAGCUGAAGCCCAGUCCUUCUCUUUCUCCUUGCAGGAGCAGUUGGCCUGGCUCCUGGUGUGGGUGGCCUGGCUCCUGGUGUGGGUGGCCUGGUUCCUGGAGUAGGUGGCCUGGUUCCUGGAGUAGGUGGCCUGGUUCCUGGUGUUGGAGGUGUCCCAGGUGUUGGAGGUCCAGCAGCAGCAGCCAAAGCAGCAGCCAAGGCAGCCAAAUUUGGUGCUGGGGUUGGAGGGGUGCCAGGGGUGGUGCCUGGCGUGGGCGGAGUGCCUGGAGUGACACCCGGUGUUGGUGGCGUGCCCGGCUUGGUGCCAGGGGUGGGAGUGCCUGGAACUGGCAUCCUUCCUGGGGCAGGCAUCCCCCAAGUAGGGGUGCAGCCUGGUGCUAAACCUCCCAAAUUCGGUGUUCCUGGGGUUGGAGUCCCGGGGGUUGGUGGCCUCCCAGGUGGCCUUGGAGUCGGUGGGCUCGGAGUUGGCGGCCUCGGCAUUGGAGGCCCCGGCCUCGGCAUAUCACCGGUAUUUCCAGGUGGGGUCGGCGGCCUGGGAUUCGGUGGGAAGCCCCCCAAGCCCUAUGGAGGAGCUCUGGGUGCCCUGGGCUUUAGAGGCGCGGGCUGCGCGGCAGGGAAGUACUGCGGGAGGAAGCGGAAGUAACGCUCCGUCACCGAUCACCUCAUGAACUUUGGUGCUACUGCAUGGUCCAGAAUGUAAAUCCGAAGCAAAGCUGAGACACCCUCUCCUCCAGCCCCGGACGGCCCCGUCCAUCCCGGGGCCGUGCCCGCGUUCCCCGGAGGGACCCCGCGUUCCCCGGCAGCGCCCGGCCCCCCCCGGCCCUCGGUCCCGGCAGGGAGCGCAGAAUAAACUGCGGGGAGCAGCAGUCCCCCUUGGUGCUAUCGCUCUCUGCGGGAUUUGGGGGGGCUGGGCUGUCGCGCCCCUCCCCAGCCCCAGAGCUGACCCCCGGGGGGGCACAGGAUGAGGGGCACCCCACAUUGGAGGAGGGGAGGGAGGGAGGGAGGGAAGGGGAUGGCGGCGGCGGGGGCUGUGCGGGGAGGGAUGGCCCCGUCAGCCUGGCCCCCAGCCCAGUCCCCGCGCUCCCCCCGGUCUGGGGGCGCCGCGGGCAGGAGGGGCUCCGUCCCUUCACGUUGCUCACUUUGCUAUAACUGGGUGGGACGCCCUAUACAGAGGGACUCGCUUCUGACAGACUAAUAAAGGACAAGUUUUUAAAGGAUUCUGGCUCCAACCUGUGUCCCGCGUCCGUGACCCGUCCCCGUGGCGGUGGCAAUGGUGCAGGGGCUCACCCCAGCCCGUGGCACUGCACAAGCCUGGAAAGGUGCUGGGUCCUUGCUACAGGGCUGUUGCUUGUCCCACUGCAUGGUAACAGCGCUGGGAGGCUCGGGAGGGCCAGGGGGACAGCUUUGGUCCUAGGGGUCGCCUCUGCCUUUUCCUACAGUGACAACUCAGGGUCCCAGGGGCGGUCUGUGCCCUGGCCUGAGGUGCUGGGGAC
rnacentral:lncRNA from 14 species